rnacentral:rRNA from 1 species
UACGUAGGGUCCAAGCGUUAAUCGGAAUUACUGGGCGUAAAGCGUGCGCAGGUGGCCCGUUAAGAGUGAUGUGAAAUCCCCGAGCUCAACUUGGGAAUUGCAUUGCUAACUGGCGGGCUAGAGUACGGGAGAGGGGGGUGGAAUUCCACGUGUAGCAGUGAAAUGCGUAGAUAUGUGGAGGAACACCGAUGGCGAAGGCAGCCCCCUGGCCUGCUACUGACACUCAUGCACGAAAGCGUGGGGAGCAAACAGG